rnacentral:tRNA from 1 species
GUUCGCGUAGUGUAGUGGUUAUCACGCUUGUCUCACACACAAGAGGGCCCCGGUUCGAGCCCGGGCGUGAACA